ACUACGGGAGGCAGCAGUGGGGAAUAUUGCACAAUGGGGGGAACCCUGAUGCAGCGAUGCCGCGUGGAGGAAGAAGGUUUUCGGAUUGUAAACUCCUUUUAUCAGGGACGAUAAUGACGGUACCUGAAGAAAAAGCUCCCGCUAACUACGGGCCAGGCGCCGCGGUAAGACGUAGGGAGCGAGCGUGGUCCGGAUUUACUGGGUGUAAAGGGGUCGUUGGCGGGACGGCAAGUCAGAUGUGAAAACUAAGGGCUGAACCUUGAGACUGCCUUUGAAACUGCUGAUCUUGAGUGAAGUAGAGGUAAGUGGAAGUCCUAGUGUAGCGGUGAAAUGAGUAGAUAUUAGGAGGAACAUCGGUGGCGAAGGCGGCUUACUGGGCUUUUAAUGACGCUGAGGCUCGAAAGCGUGGGGAGCAAACAGGAUUAGAUACCCCAGUAGUC
rnacentral:rRNA from 1 species